UACGAAGGGGGCAAGCGUUGUUCGGAAUUACUGGGCGUAAAGCGCGCGCAGGCGGUCUUCCAAGUCAGUGGUGAAAGCCUGGAGCUCAACUCCAGAACUGCCAUUGAAACUGUUGGACUUGAGUACGAGAGAGGUGAGUGGAAUUCCCAGUGUAGAGGUGAAAUUCGUAGAUAUUGGGAAGAACACCGGUGGCGAAGGCGGCUCACUGGCUCGUAACUGACGCUCAGGCGCGACAGCGUGGGGAUCAAACAGG
rnacentral:rRNA from 1 species